GAUUGAACUGUUGAACCCGGUUUCGCGCCACUUCUCCGCACUUUGGGCUGCGCGCUGCUCUCCUACUUCAGUGACUCACGAAACGCCACAGAUUGAACAACAGCCUCCUGACAUGACAGCUCUUCUUGAGACAUUGUCAUCCAAUUUGGAUGGAACAACUUCGUGACCUUAAUGACACCCAGCAACACGAUGUUUUUUCUUUAUUUGUGUUAGAGAGAAACACACAAAAGCACACAAGCACCACAGGGGAGGAUCUGCAGCAAAGGGCCCACCGGAAAUCAAACCUUGGCCGCUAUGAUGACGACAACAUGGGGCACUUGAGUGUGUGACUACGACUACCAGCAUGAACCUCAACACCUUCUUUGCUGUUCCACUAGUGUGACCCAUGAUCGGAUCCAAGUUGUCAAGGAUAAACGGUGAGAGAAUCAUGUCAGCCCACAGACAACCGAUUGACCUGUGAGUCUUCAAGCAGUAAUGAUGACUACGCCUGCCUUAAGUUCCAGUUUCCUGAACAUCAUGGCAUGUCUGCAGGAGAUUCGGUCCCCACCUGUCUUCAGUCUGGACCUAAUGACUCAGACACCAGUCUUGUCGAGGCUAAAUCGAGAGAGGAUCACCUGAUGUCAACAUACGAGUUUUCAAGAAGAACUUCCUGAACUUUGUGUCUGUGUGAGACUCUACCAUGCUGGGUGCCCUCUUCAGUCAAGUCUGGACACAGCGACUCAUUGCUCUUCAUCAACUCUGGGCAAGUGGCUAAUCUUUUGCUUAUUCAUGGGAUAUCCUUCAUGUCCACAUCCUGUUUCUUCAAGAUCUCAACAAUGCUUUGUGAGUAUACAACACAUGUGAGUGGAUCAGUUCAACCUGUUUUUCACAGAAUGUUAGUUUCUUAAGGUUUUCAUCAACGAUGGUUUGUAUCUUGUUUUCCAAAAGGUGUUAUUAAGAUAUUUCCAUUUGUAAUUUACAAUAAUCAAAUGUUGACUGUAAAAUCUAUGCCAACCUAUUGUUAUACACUGUACCAUGUUUUUGCAAAGGAAUUCUGGUAACUUUAGUUGCCAGCAACUUCCUUUGAACUUUGUAAUAAAAUACCGUAACUGUAAUAAAGUUUACAGUAUAACUGUUGUUUUUACAAAACUUACUGUCAUGUCUUGUAUGUUCACCGUUAAUUGGAACUUUUCAAUAAAGUACCAUAAUAUAUUA